UCUAAUUAGAGAGUUACAUGGAAGUUUUAAGACUUGAGCACUUUAGAGGAGAAUGACAGAGCCAAACUAACACAUUUUCACUGUUGCUCCAGCAAGAGGAGCAGAGAGAAAAGGUCUUUUUAGGCAAACUUGGUAUCUUCUACCUUGUUUCAUUCACAGAAAUUUUGAAUGAAUUUCUGCUGGUGCUUCUCUGUUUCCUCUCUGUAUGACAGCUGCAUUUGAGAAAAAGUUAUAGCUGUAGACUGCUCCAUGCAUUCUAAAUACAACAGUUACAGAGGAGCUAUGGCAGCAGCCAGAACUUCAGUUAUGAGUCAAGAGACUAACUUGAUGCCUCAUGAAAACUGCUUCCCUCUCCAAAUUCCUCUCACACAGCUACUAUCCUGGCCAACUUCCAGCUUCAACUUUACAAUGCUCUGACGCUAAGCCACGCCAGCGAACAAGUUCGCUGCAUCACCCAUCUCCCUGGAGAACAUCUGUCCGAACUUCCUUGGACACUUUCUUUAAGAAACCAGACAAGACUCCAGAAAAGCCUGCAGCCAAGACUCCUGAGAAGACUCCAGCCAAGAACCCUUCAAAACAUCCAGCAAAGUCUCCUCAAAGAAGUCCUUCCAAAUCAAUAUGAUUGCUAUUUACAAUAUAAAUACAUUAAUGUAGCUAUAUUGCUCACAUAUAAUUGAUUGAGUAAAAAAUUCUGGGUUAUUUUUGGUGAAAAUAGGGUAUCAAGCCUUGGUUCAGGAACCAAUCCCCCAUCUAACCUGUAUA